rnacentral:rRNA from 1 species
AACCCUUGUCCUUAGUUACCAGCACGUUAUGGUGGGCACGUCUAAGGAGACUGCCGGUGACAAACCGGAGGAAGGUGGGGAUGACGUCAAGUCAUCAUGGCCCUUACGGCCUGGGCUACACACGUGCUACAAUGGUCGGUACAAAGGGUUGCCAAGCCGCGAGGUGGAGCUAAUCCCAUAAAACCGAUCGUAGUCCGGAUCGCAGUCUGCAACUCGACUGCGUGAAGUCGGAAUCGCUAGUAAUCGUGAAUCAGAAUGUCACGGUGAAUACGUUCCCGGGCCUU